rnacentral:rRNA from 1 species
ACGAACGCUGGCGGCGUGCUUCACACAUGCAAGUCGCACGGAAAGGCCCUGCUUUUGUGGGGUGCUCGAGUGGCGAACGGGUGAGUAACACGUGAGUAACCUGCCCUUGACUUUGGGAUAACUUCAGGAAACUGGGGCUAAUACCGGAUAGGAGCUCCUGCUGCAUGGUGGGGGUUGGAAAGUUUCGGCGGUUGGGGAUGGACUCGCGGCUUAUCAGCUUGUUGGUGGGGUAGUGGCUUACCAAGGCUUCGACGGGUAGCCGGCCUGAGAGGGUGACCGGCCACAUUGGGACUGAGAUACGGCCCAGACUCCUACGGGAGGCAGCAGUGGGGAAUAUUGCACAAUGGGCGGAAGCCUGAUGCAGCAACGCCGCGUGCGGGAUGACGGCCUUCGGGUUGUAAACCGCUUUCGCCUGUGACGAAGCGUGAGUGACGGUAAUGGGUAAAGAAGCACCGGCUAACUACGUG